rnacentral:rRNA from 1 species
UGGGUGAUCUGCCCUGCACUUCGGGAUAAGCCUGGGAAACUGGGUCUAAUACCGGAUAUGAUCAUGCGCCUCCUGGUGUGUGGUGGAAAGCUUUUGCGGUGUGGGAUGGGCCCGCGGCCUAUCAGCUUGGUUGGGCGGGGUAAUGGCCUACCAAGGCGUCGACGGGUAGCCGGCCUGAGAGGGUGUCCGGCCACACUGGGACUGAGACACGGCCCAGACCUCCGUACGGGAGCA